GACGAACGCUGGCGGCGUGCUUAACACAUGCAAGUCGAACGCUGAAGCUCAGCUUUUGUUGGGUGGAUGAGUGGCGAACGGGUGAGUAACACGUGAGUAACCUGCCCCCUUCUUUGGGAUAACGCCCGGAAACGGGUGCUAAUACUGGAUAUACACUGGUCUUCGCAUGGGGGUUGGUGGAAAGGGUUUUUCUGGUGGGGGAUGGGCUCGCGGCCUAUCAGCUUGUUGGUGGGGUGAUGGCCUACCAAGGCUUUGACGGGUAGCCGGCCUGAGAGGGUGACCGGUCACAUUGGGACUGAGAUACGGCCCAGACUCCUACGGGAGGCAGCAGUGGGGAAGAUUGCACAAUGGGCGCAAGCCUGAUGCAGCGACGCCGCGUGAGGGAUGGAGGCCUUCGGGUUGUGAACCUCUUUCGCUCAUGGUCAAGCCGCAACAAUGGUUGUGGUGAGGGUAGUGGGUAAAGAAGCGCCGGCUAACUACGUG
rnacentral:rRNA from 1 species